CCUACGGGUGACAGCAGUGAGGAAUAUUGGUCAAUGGACGAGAGUCUGAACCAGCCAAGUAGCGUGAAGGAUGACUGCCCUAUGGGUUGUAAACUUCUUUUAUAUGGGAAUAAAACGUUCCACGUGUGGGAUUUUGUAUGUACCAUAUGAAUAAGGAUCGGCUAACUCCGUGCCAGCAGCCGCGGUAAUACGGAGGAUCCGAUCGUUAUCCGGAUUUAUUGGGUUUAAAGGGAGCGUAGGUGGAUUGUUAAGUCAGUUGUGAAAGUUUGCGGCUCAACCGUAAAAUUGCAGUUGAAACUGGCAGUCUUGAGUACAGUAGAGGUGGGCGGAAUGCGUGGUGUAGCGGUGAAAUGCUUAGAUAUCACGAAGAACUCCGAUUGCGAAGGCAGUUCACUGGACUGCAACUGACACUGAGGCUCGAAAGUGUGGGUAUCAAACAGGAUUAGAUACCCUUGUAGUC
rnacentral:rRNA from 1 species